rnacentral:rRNA from 1 species
GAUGAACGCUGGCGGCGUGCCUAAUACAUGCAAGUCGAGCGAACGGACGAGAAGCUUGCUCCUCUGAUGUUAGCGGCGGACGGGUGAGUAACACGUGGAUAACCUACCUAUAAGACUGGGAUAACUUCGGGAAACCGGAGCUAAUACCGGAUAAUAUUUUGAACCGCAUGGUUCAAAAGUGAAAGACGGUCUUGCUGUCACUUAUAGAUGGAUCCGCGCUGCAUUAGCUAGUUGGUAAGGUAACGGCUUACCAAGGCAACGAUGCAUAGCCGACCUGAGAGGGGGAUCGGCCACACUGGAACUGAGACACGGUCCAGACUCCUACGGGAGGCAGCAGUAGGGAAUCUUCCGCAAUGGGCGAAAGCCUGACGGAGCAACGCCGCGUGAGUGAUGAAGGUCUUCGGAUCGUAAAACUCUGUUAUUAGGGAAGAACAUAUGUGUAAGUAACUGUGCACAUCUUGACGGUACCUAAUCAGAAAGCCACGGCUAACUACGUG